UUCUCUGAUGCUAUGAUUCUAUGAAGAAAGCACAGGUGGCUUUGGAGGAAUCAAGACCGAGGUUGGUGGAGCAGUGCUCCAUUUGCUGUAAUGGCCCAGUCUUCACUGCUCAAGGUCCUCCACCUUCUAAUGGAAUUACACUGUUCUGAAAGCAACUCUGGGAAGAACUGCAUACUUGUAGGAGUGAUAUUGCAAGGUGAGGGUCAUCAGUACACUGGAAACAUUAACAUGGAGCGAGGGUGGUUGGGGCCUGAGUAACAAGUAUCUUGUGAGCUUUUACGUUGCAUGGAAGUUUCCUUGACAGGCAAGGCUUGUUCUUAAGUUUGCUCUUAAGCACUUUGGGCUAAACAAGCUUCCUAGGCCUGGAAUAAGGCGUACACAUCUCAGGGUACACAGAGAUCUGAACGAAGAGCUUCCUGUUUGCUGAGACAUGCUUGAACAUUCUGUCUGUGUAGAACACCCUCGCAUCUAGUCCUUUCCAAAAUAAGCACUUGGAUUCUUAAGACUCUUAAUACAUCCCCCUCAUGCUUAUUUUGGUUUUCAAAAGAUGUUUACUUGCAGAAGCGACUUUCCCACCAACGAGGCAGCCCUUCUCCAACUGAAAUCAACCGACCCAACUCCCCAUUGAUGGUGUCAUUUAUUUUGUUUUCCUAGAGCACAAUCUUCCCCAGAAGAAGAAUUCAGUGAAACUUAAAAGGCUGCACACUUGCAAGAAGAUGCGGAUGUGAAAAGCACAACUCGAGGAUUAAUUGGGGAACAGAAGGGUUGUUGCUUCAACCAUUUCUGACAGGCUCUUGUGCAGUCAAAGUUUCAGAGGUUGCAUUCAUCUUUAUAGUUAGGCAGCAAUGAAUCAAAUUCUAUCCCACACUUUUCUGUGCAUGGAAGAAGCUUGAACCUUAUUUAUAAGUUGAUUUACUUUAUUCCCCUUUCCUAUACAGUUGUCUUUUCCCCAUCCUUAAAGUUAUUCUGUGGUUUGUCACACUGGAUUCCAGCAACAUGAGACAGAAAGCCAUUCCCUCUGGACUAUGAGCACUGUAGUUUACUCCUCACAGAGAGAACAAUUCCCAGCAGCUCUUAAACCACAGUGCCUGGAAUUCUCUGCUCUGAAGGAAAUGAUAUGCUCCAAAGGUAUAGUGUGUACACAGCUUUAGUAAUGAAAGUCAAAAGCAGAUAUAAGUGCCUGUAAAAGGGCUGAAACAAAACCCUUUAACAGGGCUGAAUAAAAUUAGAUCUGUAUGUAGUUUUUCUCCCUUGCAAAGCAUCCUUCAGAGGGCAAUUUUGAGGGAGUAGGGUGUUAGAAUUCCUGCUCCGUGACUGCAGUCAUAGGAUUGUUGUCUAUCCCCAGGAGGGAGGGAACAUGCCAGUCAGGCAUGUGUCUCUGCCAGGGUCCUACUCAAGUGUAGGACAAGCUCCUGACAAAGGGUGCUUCAUCUUUUCCUUACCAA